rnacentral:misc_RNA from 1 species
UUAAGUUCAGCGGGUAUUCCUACCUGAUCUGAGGUCAACUUUGCUAUUUCUUUGGGGUUUGGGGCUGGUUCGUCCACUAGACCGCUGUAAGGAUAAUUACUCUACAGGGGACAAGUGUGCUACCGCCAUUCAUUUUCAGCGGUUGCCACAGUGGGCAAUCCGCCAACACCAAGCAGGGCUUGAGGGUAGAAAUGACGCUC